AACGAACGCUGGCGGCAGGCCUAACACAUGCAAGUCGAGCGAGGUAGCAAUACCUAGCGGCGGACGGGUGAGUAACGCGUGGGAACGUGCCCUUUGCUUCGGAAUAGCCCCGGGAAACUGGGAGUAAUACCGAAUGUGCCCUUCGGGGGAAAGGUUUAUCGGCAAAGGAUCGGCCCGCGUUGGAUUAGGUAGUUGGUGGGGUAAUGGCCUACCAAGCCGACGAUCCAUAGCUGGUUUGAGAGGAUGAUCAGCCACACUGGGACUGAGACACGGCCCAGACUCCUACGGGGGGCAGCAGUGGGGAAUCUUAGACAAUGGGCGCAAGCCUGAUCUAGCCAUGCCGCGUGACCGAUGAAGGCCUUAGGGUUGUAAAGAUCUUUCAGGUGGGAAGAUAAUGACUGUACCACCAGAAGAAGCCCCGGCUAACUCCGUGCCAGCCGCCGCCGUAA
rnacentral:rRNA from 1 species